AAGCAUCACAAACUAAAAGAUCAGUAAUGCUUCAAAAAUCUCCAGAAAUGAGGCUGAGACGUGGCUCAGUGAUUAAGACUGGCUGCUCUUCCACAGGGCCCAGCUUCACUUUCCCAGAUCCACAUGGCCACUGGUUGUGAGUCCAGUUCUAGUGGGUCCAACACCCUCUUCUGGUCUCUGUGGGCACCAGGCAUGCACACGGUAUACAGAUGUACACGCAGACAGAACACCCAUACACAUACAAUAAACAAUUUAAAUCCCCAGACAUCCACAGGCUGGUAGGCUAGAGCUGAGCAGAGGGAGACCUACACCAUGGGAAGCCAAGUCCUCAGCCACCCACAGAAGGCUGAAGCUGACAGGGGAACCAGGCUGCCUGGUCCAGCCAUGUGACCUUGGUCACCAGGCUGUACACGAUGUGUUCCUGCCUCCUACAGCCCGGAGAGCAUCCCACUUGUUUGUUCAUAUCUGUGUGGUUAGAGUCUGUCUCCCCCACAACGACAUUCAUCUUGGUUACUUCCUGGUGCUCAGGGUACGAGCAGUGCCACACACACAGGUGGCAGAACUGCAAAGCUGCAAGAGACCCGGGAAACCAAACCAGCUAGGACCUACCUGGUCCAGGGAAGGUGUUCUCAUCCCACUGGCUGGCUUUCCCUUGCCGAGGUGCAUCCUCCUCCAGAGGGUGCACUGACUUCCCAGGUGAAGCUAAGAGCCUCACUGGGCGUUCCUACAUGCCUCAUCCCAUAGUGCUUCCAAGUCUUCUCCUAUCCCUAAGCCUUUAGAAUUUUCCCAAGAUCAGAUUAAUUUGCAAUAUAAACCUCAGGCUUGGCAGCUUGUCUGUGUUGUGAAGAUACCUGGCCAAUGUCACAGACGGCCACUCCAUCUGUAGACCAAGCAGGACUCACAAGCCACUGUGUGGUCAUGAGUGUCAGCACUUUUGAGAAGGCCAAUUCAGGCAACACGUACUGUGUUUAGCACCUGUUGAGAACCUACUGUGUGCAGACCGUGUUCUAGGUUUGGAUGGCACAUAGUGAGGACGGCAAUCAUUCUCCUGCAUCUGUAUAUAGUUCCUGGGGAUGGUCCCUCAAACUUUUAGCAGGAGAUCGGGCCCAGACUAGUUUACCUUCAGUGACAACUGUUUCCCAGAGGUCAGCACAUAGUAGGCGCUUGAUGAAUUUAACAAUUUGUUUCCCUGAGAGGCUGGGGAAGCUUGCAUGGCUAGGGUGAGGCCAAGAGGGUAAAUUAAGAGCCAGAUAUUGUUGGGUGGAUAGUGGGUUUGGUAUAUUUCAGUGUGCCUACUGGAGGUUACUCAGUAAAUCACCGUUUCGUUUUUUUUUUUUUUUUGUUUUUUGUUUUGUUUUUUUUUGUUUUUUUGGGGUUUUUUUUUUGUUUGUUUGUUUUUUUGGUUUUUUUUGUUUUGUUUUUUGUUUGUUUGUUUGUUUGUUUUUGGCGGUAUAACCUGGACUGGGGGAUGAGCAGCAUCAUUCCCAAACCUCUGUGAUGUGACUGUCACACUUGUAGCCUCUGUUCAGAUUCGUGCAUCGAUUUUUCAAAGGUUAAACAAACAAAACCACACGCCUGUGCUCACAUGUGUACACACACACACACACACACACACACACACACACACACACACAUAAUUUUAAAAGUGACACAUGUGCAGAAAGUAGAUGUCUUGUGCCUGUUGGGAACUGGGACACCCUUGUCGAACUGCUGUGGGUCCUGGACAGAAAGGUCGGGACACCCCAGGCUCUCACUCCUCCUAUUCCCACCUGUCCCCACUGUCAGCCCCAUCCACUCAGCUGCCUUUCCUGUCCAGUUUCUAAAGCCACCUAUGGCUCUGACCCCAGGUGUCAUGGAAGGCCACAGACAGUGCCUCUUGAGGUGGGAGCUCUUCAGUUCCCCGUCUCCUCCUAGCCAGAGCAGCCAUUUCUCCUGCUCCUUUGUGGUUCCUGCUCAGACCUGGCUGUUCCCCAGACCCUCCAUUCUCCAGCCCUCAUUAUCAGCUGACUUCUAGGAUGUAGUGCCUCCCCCCCGUCCCUCACGGCCCUGGGGGCAACACCAGCAGCCACUGCCUCUCAGCCCCUGUGCGACUGUGGCAAGGUCUCGGUUGCACUUAAGAAGGGGCUAGGAACCAGAGUUGGAAGCAGAGCUGGGCUUCUCUGGGGAGUCAGGAGGACCUCAGGCUCCUUGGUGCUGCGCUGCCCCUGACUCCAGCUUCUGGGAGUAAUAGAGCAGGAGGAAGCGGUCCCCGAGGAGGUGUUGGUCACAGACACUUGCAUGGGACAGGCAGGGCCAGACAACUGGAAAGGCUGCAUGGGGGAGGGGACAGUGUCCCCAGGGAUCAUCCCAGAGAGUUGGGAUGGAGAGGUGUGUGCUGAGGUCUAGAGGCUGGAGAAGGGGUUGGGUGGACAGAGGGGUUGACACGUGUUGAUCCUUUACACAGAGCCCACUAGAGCCUUGUGCCUGCCAGGCUCUGGGCAAAGGAGAAAGAGGUUAUAGGGGUAGGGAAUAUUCAUGUGAGUGACAUGGCCUAGCCCAGCUCCUUGCUUCCGGGAGACUACCACUCUGCCUGCGUGGAAGGUGACCUCAGCAUGGAGGGUGACCAACAGGAUCACAGGACAGGGAAAUUUGAUUUUGGAGAGCCAGGCCCAGGCUGGUCCCAAGCUCACAACCCUUCUACCUCGGCCUCCAAGGCGUUGAGUUGAUACACCUGGCUCCUUCAUACCUGUCUUGUAUGCAGUUCAAGGAAUUAUUCAUUUUUGUGUGUGUUUGUGUGCAUGUGCACACAUGUGCGUGCAUGUAUAUAUGCACACAUGCAUGCAAUGCUUAUGCUGUGUGUGUACACGCAUGCAUGUGUAUAUGUACGUGUAUGUGCAUUUGUGUGUUGAAUGUGUAUCUCCACACAGCAUUUACCUCGGUUCUUGGGGAGCCAGCUGUGUGCAGUUCCAGUCGGCAGAGAUAUGCUGAUGCUUGUCAGUCUUUGGGCAUCAACAUCUGUUCCCUCUCUGCUUGGCAACUGUCCUACCCUCUAGCUGGGGCUCCAUGGGACAGCAAGCUGCCUGUGAGCCCAGCACACAGUAGGUCCAAAAUGAGUGAGGAGCGCCUGGGGUCAGACUGGCUUGCCCCCCUUCACCCCCUGCUGCAUCCUCUCGAAACCCCUCUGGUACUGGCACGCGAGGUCCCUCGUCUCCCAUCUCUUCUUCCCAUCUCUCUCCAUCUCUU